rnacentral:rRNA from 1 species
GGCGAGUGAACGGAGAUUAGCCCAGCACCGAAGCCUAUCCGCAUUUGUGGACAGGGCAAUGUGGUGUUCAGACUGGUACCUUUGUGCAACUCGUCUACUCGAAGUCCAACUCCGAUUAUGGCAUUGGAUAUGUCCCGCAGAGGGUGAGAGGCCCGUACGAGUAGACACUACUGCAUCUUGAGUUGUGCUUAGAUGUGCCAGUCUUGGAGUCGGAUUGCUUGAGAAUGCAGUCCAAAGCGGGUGGUAAACUCCAUCCAAGGCUAAAUACUGGCACGAGUCCGAUAGUAAACAAGUACCGUGAGGGAAAGUUGAAAAGUACUCUGAAGAGAGAGUAAAUAGUACGUGAAGCCGCCUGUAGGGAAGCUGGUGGAGUCAAGCUUCAUGCCUGCAUGAUUAAUAGUGAGAGAGUGUGUUGUUAAAGCAUCGUCGGCUGGUGGAUCUGGAAAUUGUUUCGACAGGCCUUAAACCUGUUGCAAGCUUUCUGGUAAGUGCGCUUGUGCCAGUCUCGCGGUGUUCUCUCUUGCAUUCUAUCAGCAGGCAGCCAUCACGGUUGAUAUGCUCUUGGUGCGUGGUUGUCAAACUGUGCCCGUGUGGCCUUUACCGGCUGCUGGACGCAGGACGGCAGGUGGUGUCGUGGCUAGGCUUGCCCUGGUCACUGGCGCGUAUUGGCCGACGACCAUGCUUGUUUUACUAUUGACGCAUAUCAUGUAUGUUUCAGGCUGUCGCCAUGCGAAUCGGUUGCAGUCGAUG